rnacentral:rRNA from 1 species
AUUGAACGCUGGCGGCAGGCCUAACACAUGCGAGUCGAACGGUAACAGGAAGAAGCUUGCUUCUUUGCUGACGAGUGGCGGACGGGUGAGUAAUGUCUGGGAAACUGCCUGAUGGAGGGGGAUAACUACUGGAAACGGUAGCUAAUACCGCAUAACGUCGCAAGACCAAAGAGGGGGACCUUCGGGCCUCUUGCCAUCGGAUGUGCCCAGAUGGGAUUAGCUAGUAGGUGGGGUAACGGCUCACCUAGGCGACGAUCCCUAGCUGGUCUGAGAGGAUGACCGGCCACACUGGAACUGAGACACGGUCCAGACUCCUACGGGAGGCAGCAGUGGGGAAUAUUGCACAAUGGGCGCAAGCCUGAUGCAGCCAUGCCGAGUGUAUGAAGAAGGCCUUCGGGUUGUAAAGUACUUUCAGCGGGGAGGAAGGGAGUAAAGUUAAUACCUUUACUCAUUGACGUUACCCGCAGAAGAAGCACCGGCUAACUCCGUG